rnacentral:rRNA from 1 species
GGGUUGUCAUGCCAAUGGCACUGCCCGGUAGCUAAAUGCGGAAGAGAUAAGUGCUGAAAGCAUCUAAGCACGAAACUUGCCCCGAGAUGAGUUCUCCCUGAGACUUAGAGUCUCCUGAAGGAACGUUGAAGACGACGACGUUGAUAGGCCGGGUGUGUAAGCGCAGCGAUGCGUUGAGCUAACCGGUACUAAUGAACCGUGAGGCUUAACCUUAC